AUGCAAGGCUUGGAUCUCCCUGCCCGGCUUUAAUAUUCCCUCUGAAUCCAAAUGAACCAUUUCCUUCUACACAAAAUCUUCGACAAGGCCACACUUCUUUUGUUAUCAGAGUGUUGUCCUCGGCAAGCCUGCUUGGCUCUCAUAAAGGCAAUUUAGCACCUGACGAGCGCGGGCCUGGAUUUGCCUCGCAAAUCAGGGCGGCCCCGGCAACCCCCGGGAGGACGGGCGGCCCCGGAGACACCUAAGGGGCAUCUUUCAUCAACUUCUCGGGCGGGCCCCGGUUUCCCGGGGCGGCCGGCGCUCUCCUCCCGCAGCGGGGACGCUCGGCGAGCGUAUCCUGACCCCCAGUGGCCGGCCCUGUCCUCCGACCCGCGCCGGUCCCCACUCCCGCGGAUCCCGGGCACCCGGGCCCCGUUCGCUUUAAUUGACAAUUAAAACGAACUCCGGUUCUCACAGAAUCCGACCGCGCGGAGUUGCGCAACGAGAGUUUCACAAUUCAAUUCCCUUGAAGCAAAACCGACAGUUUUCCCUGAGGUUUCACUCCACACCUCUGCGUUGGUUGUUGAACUUCCCCCUCGUGUUUCUCUUCCCACACACACCGCUUUCCUUCAGACGCCGCCAUGGAGACGGUUUCGCUGCAAAAAGAAAAAAGGGGGUGGGGAGGAAGAAGAAGAAGAAGAAGAAACCACAUGGAAAUGCUGAGCUGACUUCUCCCCAGAGAUGGCCCGGAUGGCCUUGGCCUUGAGGCAGACAGGACAGUGUUGCCAAGAUGACAUCCUUAAGACAGAUGAUUUCAAGGACACUCCCUGCCCACCCCCUUGGAGGCUGCUUGGUGACUGUGCUUGGAAUCAGAGCCAUGGUUGCUUUUGUGGCGAAAGAAGAAUAUAAGCUAACAAGUCAUGUAAAGACUUGAAGGACAGACAAAAGGACCGUGAUAAUGAACCCGCGUGGCUUUUAAAGCAGCGUCAGCCAGGGACACAGCCCAAAGGAAUUGCCUUCCUUCCCCGACUUCUUCCUCUGUUUUUCCAUCUCCACCACUGAUGAUGCUCAGCUUAUAGUCACUGUCUAAAGAAAAUAGGAAGCUCACUCUUGUCUGCAUCCUUGCUCCAAGCUCCAGCUCGUGAGCAGGGCCCAGCAUAAAGGGGUCCUUGUGGAAGAAAUAAAGGCUCCAGAUGAAUGUGAAA